GGGGAGCCCGAGCCACAGCCAGAUGACCCUCAAAAGUUUACAACUAUCUGUGGUUCACAGUUACAGGUCUGUUUCUAUAGAUGAAUGUUGGAUGGUGUCCUCAGCCCCUGCUAUCCUGAUUGGGAGAGUAUUCUACAUAUGUCAGCAAC